ensembl:miRNA aca-mir-205b aca-mir-205b
CUUGGGUGCCCUUCAUUCCACCGGAAUCUGUCACCGCAAAAACCGGAUUUCUGUGAAAUGAAGCCCACCAGGCA